UACGUAGGGUGCAAGCGUUACUCGGAAUUACUGGGCGUAAAGCGUGCGCAGGCGGUGAUGUAAGACAGAUGUGAAAUCCCCGGGCUCAACCUGGGAACUGCAUUUGUGACUGCAUCGCUGGAGUGCGGCAGAGGGGGAUGGAAUUCCGCGUGUAGCAGUGAAAUGCGUAGAUAUGCGGAGGAACACCGAUGGCGAAGGCAAUCCCCUGGGCCUGCACUGACGCUCAUGCACGAAAGCGUGGGGAGCAAACAGG
rnacentral:rRNA from 1 species